GGUUAAGCGACUAAGCGUACACGGUGGAUGCCCUGGCAGUCAGAGGCGAUGAAGGACGUGCUAAUCUGCGAAAAGCGUCGGUAAGGUGAUAUGAACCGUUAUAACCGGCGAUGUCCGAAUGGGGAAACCCAGUGCAAUUCGUUGCACUAUCGUUAACUGAAUACAUAGGUUAACGAGGCGAACCGGGGGAACUGAAACAUCUAAGUACCCCGAGGAAAAGAAAUCAACCGAGAUUCCCCCAGUAGCGGCGAGCGAACGGGGAGCAGCCCAGAGUCUGAAUCAGCUUGUGUGUUAGUGGAACGGUCUGGAAAGUCCGACGGUACAGGGUGAUAGUCCCGUACACCAAAAUGCACAGGUUGUGAACUCGAAGAGUAGGGCGGGACACGUGGUAUCCUGUCUGAAUAUGGGGGGACCAUCCUCCAAGGCUAAAUACUCCUGACUGACCGAUAGUGAACCAGUACCGUGAGGGAAAGGCGAAAAGAACCCCGGCGAGGGGAGUGAAAAAGAACCUGAAACCGUGUACGUACAAGCAGUGGGAGCACCUUCGGGUGUGACUGCGUACCUUUUGUAUAAUGGGUCAGCGACUUAUAUUCUGUAGCAAGGUUAACCGUAUAGGGGAGCCGCAGGGAAACCGAGUCUUAACUGGGCGUUAAGUUGCAGGGUAUAGACCCGAAACCCGGUGAUCUAGCCAUGGGCAGGUUGAAGGUUGGGUAACACUAACUGGAGGACCGAACCGACUAAUGUUGAAAAAUUAGCGGAUGACUUGUGGCUGGGGGUGAAAGGCCAAUCAAACCGGGAGAUAGCUGGUUCUCCCCGAAAGCUAUUUAGGUAGCGCCUCGUGAACUCAUCUUCGGGGGUAGAGCACUGUUUCGGCUAGGGGGUCAUCCCGACUUACCAACCCGAUGCAAACUACGAAUACCGAAGAAUGUUAUCACGGGAGACACACGGCGGGUGCUAACGUCCGUCGUGAAGAGGGAAACAACCCAGACCGCCAGCUAAGGUCCCAAAGUCAUGGUUAAGUGGGAAACGAUGUGGGAAGGCACAGACAGCCAGGAUGUUGGCUUAGAAGCAGCCAUCAUUUAAAGAAAGCGUAAUAGCUCACUGGUCAAGUCGGCCUGCGCGGAAGAUGUAACGGGGCUAAACCAUGCACCGAAGCUGCGGCAGCGACACUAUGUGUUGUUGGGUAGGGGAGCGUUCUGUAAGCCUGCGAAGGUGACCUGUGAGGGUUGCUGGAGGUAUCAGAAGUGCGAAUGCUGACAUAAGUAACGAUAAAGCGGGUGAAAAGCCCGCUCGCCGGAAGACCAAGGGUUCCUGUCCAACGUUAAUCGGGGCAGGGUGAGUCGACCCCUAAGGCGAGGCCGAAAGGCGUAGUCGAUGGGAAACAGGUUAAUAUUCCUGUACUUGGUGUUACUGCGAAGGGGGGACGGAGAAGGCUAUGUUAGCCGGGCGACGGUUGUCCCGGUUUAAGCAUGUAGGCUGAUUGUCCAGGCAAAUCCGGAUAAUCAAGGCUGAGGUGUGAUGACGAGGCACUACGGUGCUGAAGUAACAAAUGCCCUGCUUCCAGGAAAAGCCUCUAAGCAUCAGGUAACAUCAAAUCGUACCCCAAACCGACACAGGUGGUCAGGUAGAGAAUACCAAGGCGCUUGAGAGAACUCGGGUGAAGGAACUAGGCAAAAUGGUGCCGUAACUUCGGGAGAAGGCACGCUGGUGUGUAGGUGAAGCCCCUGCGGGUGGAGCUGAGACCAGUCGAAGAUACCAGCUGGCUGCAACUGUUUAUUAAAAACACAGCACUGUGCAAACACGAAAGUGGACGUAUACGGUGUGACGCCUGCCCGGUGCCGGAAGGUUAAUUGAUGGGGUUAUCCGUAAGGAGAAGCUCUUGAUCGAAGCCCCGGUAAACGGCGGCCGUAACUAUAACGGUCCUAAGGUAGCGAAAUUCCUUGUCGGGUAAGUUCCGACCUGCACGAAUGGCGUAAUGAUGGCCAGGCUGUCUCCACCCGAGACUCAGUGAAAUUGAACUCGCUGUGAAGAUGCAGUGUACCCGCGGCAAGACGGAAAGACCCCGUGAACCUUUACUAUAGCUUGACACUGAACAUUGAGCCUUGAUGUGUAGGAUAGGUGGGAGGCUUUGAAGCGUGGACGCCAGUCUGCGUGGAGCCAACCUUGAAAUACCACCCUUUAAUGUUUGAUGUUCUAACGUUGGCCCCUGACCGGGGUUGCGGACAGUGUCUGGUGGGUAGUUUGACUGGGGCGGUCUCCUCCCAAAGCGUAACGGAGGAGCACGAAGGUUAGCUAAUCCUGGUCGGACAUCAGGAGGUUAGUGCAAUGGCAUAAGCUAGCUUGACUGCGAGCGUGACGGCGCGAGCAGGUGCGAAAGCAGGUCAUAGUGAUCCGGUGGUUCUGAAUGGAAGGGCCAUCGCUCAACGGAUAAAAGGUACUCCGGGGAUAACAGGCUGAUACCGCCCAAGAGUUCAUAUCGACGGCGGUGUUUGGCACCUCGAUGUCGGCUCAUCACAUCCUGGGGCUGAAGUAGGUCCCAAGGGUAUGGCUGUUCGCCAUUUAAAGUGGUACGCGAGCUGGGUUUAGAACGUCGUGAGACAGUUCGGUCCCUAUCUGCCGUGGGCGCUGGAGAAUUGAGGGGGGCUGCUCCUAGUACGAGAGGACCGGAGUGGACGCAUCACUGGUGUUCGGGUUGUCAUGCCAAUGGCACUGCCCGGUAGCUAAAUGCGGAAGAGAUAAGUGCUGAAAGCAUCUAAGCACGAAACUUGCCCCGAGAUGAGUUCUCCCUGAGACUUUAAGUCUCCUGAAGGAACGUU
rnacentral:rRNA from 1 species